UAGGGAAUCUUCCGCAAUGGACGAAAGUCUGACGGAGCAACGCCGCGUGAGUGAUGAAGGUUUUCGGAUUGUAAAGCUCUGUUGUUAGGGAAGAACAAGUACCGUUCGAAUAGGGCGGUACCUUGACGGUACCUAACCAGAAAGCCACGGCUAACUACGUGCCAGCAGCCGCGGUAAUACGUAGGUGGCAAGCGUUGUCCGGACUUAUUGGGCGUAAAGGGCUCGCAGGCGGUUUCUUAAGUCUGAUGUGAAAGCCCCCGGCUCAACCGGGGAGGGUCAUGGGAAACUGGGGAACUUGAGUGCAGAAGAGGAGAGUGGAAUUCCACGUGUAGCGGUGAAAUGCGUAGAGAUGUGGAGGAACACCAGUGGCGAAGGCGACUCUCUGGUCUGUAACUGACGCUGAGGGACGAAAGCGUGGGGAGCGAACA
rnacentral:rRNA from 1 species